UCUUCCUUUCAUCUAACAUAUUUAUUGAGCACCUACUAUGUACCAGGCCUUGUGCUAGACUCUGGGGAUAUGGAAAUGAGCAAAGUAGAUGUACCCCCGAAACUUGUGGACUAAUGGAGGAGACGGACCUUAAUCAGAUCGUCAUUCAAAGAUACUAUUACAAACUGUUCUGAGAGCCGAGGAAGCAGGAAGGAGCUGUGAGAGACUGAGCUCUAACCUUGGCCAUCAAAGACAAGCUGUGCAGCUCUGGUUUUUUGAGGGCAGGACAUGGAGGGUCAGGCCCAGCUGGAGGCGCACCAAAGCCCAGAGAAAAUUCAGAACCACGUGAACUUGUUGGAUUUCAGCCCCUUGAAGCACAUGUUGCUAUUGCAGCUGCCUUGAUAACUGGGGGGACAGGAGGAGCACGGCUUUCCCAUCUUGUACGGGGACUCGCCAAUCCAGUUGCCCCUGGAAGAGAAAAGGACCCAGGGAGACAGAGGAGCAUUAGGCUACUAAUGACUUCAAGAACAUCAGAAUAAUACAAUAGAAAGAAUUUGGAAUUUGGAAUCAAAAGACUGAUUCUUCUGAACCAGCUCUACUACUUGUUGGCUUUGUGACAUUUGGUAAAUUACUCAACCUGCCUGAGCCUCAAUUUCUUAAUUUGUAAAAAGAAUGUCCUCCUAGGGUUCCCCCCUUUUUCCUUCUUUCUUUCAUCUCUUCAAUGAGAUAGUGUGAAAGUAGUUUGUAAAUGAUUAAAGGCUAUGUGACAGUAAAA
rnacentral:lncRNA from 10 species